UGCAUUCAUGUGUCUUGAAAAGCAGUAAACUAGCUAAUGAUGUAGCUGAGCCAGCCAGUCAAACUUUAUAUUAUUACUAAAGGGAAUAUGUGAAAUACCAAAACAGAAACAUACGAAAUAUUUUUGUGUACUUUUCAAGUUUGAUUCUCGGUCCUACAGGCGGCAGGUGCGAGGUGUUGAACUCACUGUGGAGAAUUCUUAACUUGCUCAAGAUAAAGCUGAAGAAAGAUCAGAUGAAGUAUAUAUUGCAGCUGCUCAAUCGUUUUUAUUCUUUGCAGGCACAGAGAGGGGAGAUGGAGAAGCAGAAGAAAACGGGGGGAGACGGAGAAGCAGAAGAGAAGACAGCGGAGAGACCGAGAAAACAGCGGAAAAGAGGCAUCGUCUAUUGCCGUGAUCCCAGAUGAUAUUGGGAACCGGUUACUGGUGCCCUAAAGGUGCAGAUGAGCCUGUUUUUCUGGGUCAUUUGGUUGAUCCACCAGCAUGGACACAUGUUCCGUUUAUCAUGUACCUGGACCCAGCAUGCAACUGUAUGCACCACCAAGGCUCUGACUACGGCAACUGAUGGCUAAUAUUAAACCCGCAUCAGUUCAAUAGGGGAGGCUCUGAAGAUAGCACAGUGAAAUAAUCAAAUGUGUGAGUAUUCUGUGAUAUUUUGUUUAAUUGCUUUUCAAUGACAAA